GACGAACGCUGGCGGCGUGCUUAACACAUGCAAGUCGAACGGAAAGGCCCUGCUUUUGUGGGGUGCUCGAGUGGCGAACGGGUGAGUAACACGUGAGUAACCUGCCCUUGACUUUGGGAUAACUUCAGGAAACUGGGGCUAAUACCGGAUAGGAGCUCCUGCUGCAUGGGGGGGGUUGGAAAGUUUCGGCGGUUGGGGAUGGACUCGCGGCUUAUCAGCUUGUUGGUGGGGUAGUGGCUUACCAAGGCUUUGACGGGUAGCCGGCCUGAGAGCGUGACCGGCCACAUUGGGACUGAGAUACGGCCCAGACUCCUACGGGAGGCAGCAGUGGGGAAUAUUGCACAAUGGGCGGAAGCCUGAUGCAGCAACGCCGCGUGCGGGAUGACGGCCUUCGGGUUGUAAACCGCUUUCGCCUGUGACGAAGCGUGAGUGACGGUAAUGGGUAAAGAAGCACCGGCUAACUACGUG
rnacentral:rRNA from 1 species